AGACGGGAUGCUGCCCGAUUCUUGAACUGCUGGACAAAACCAUUUAGGCCUUCCAACUUAUUCAGUUGAACUUUCAUUUUUUUAAUAAAAGUGAAAUGAAACAGAUGAACUUCAUUGAAAGUCCACUUUUGUGUCAAAUCCACAAGAGAACAAGAAAUUCAAGUGAUGGGGAAGCACAAGCACAUACUCUUUGCCGCCACCUGAAGAUUCCAAGCAAACUCUGAAUGUACAGCCAGAGCUCUCCACUCGGGGGUACCAGGACUGUUGAGUUUAAUUCACAGACCCCAGCUACAGAACAGAAGAACAGAAGAAAAGGGCCUGAAGAAGUCAGCCAAAGCUGGACCUCAGGCGGCUGAGACUGUCCGCUGGAACUUGCUUAGCAUCACUGAGCAGGCUAGGAAAAGGAAAAUACUUCUCCACACUCUCUUUCCUUUGACUAGCAAAACCUAUGUUUCCCUCCAGAAGCAGUUCAUUUAUCACUUCCUCUUGCAGCCUUGAUGCCCCAUCAGAAUUUAUAUCCCCAACCAAUUCUCCAUGGUCCUUAUACUAUUAUAUUGAUUGGUAUACACGCCAAAGGGGAUCAGGAUUUGUCACUUCAAAAUGCGCUCUUUUGGCAUAAGGAUUAUUUUAAGCUUGUUGUUUUUAAGAAACUACAGACACAGGAGAAGCUCUGAUAACCAAAUAGAAGUUACCCGUCUUAAGAGUCACAUACACACAUAAGGAAAGCCUCCAUUUAUAAGGGCGUCUCCCUCACUGUCCAGGGAAGAGAGGGUGGCCAGAUCUCCAGAAACUCUGAUCAACGCACAAUUCAAAGACUUAACUCUCCAUAACAAGCAUACUUUUGUUUACUGUGCUUUCUAAUAAGUUCCCGGAAGUGGUGCCCCAACCCCCAACAUACUGCUUUGCUUUGGUUGAGAUGAUUUUACCAUGACAGCCUAGGCUGUUUCAUUUUUUUUUAAAUAUAAUUUAUUGUCACAUUGGCUUACAUACAACACCCGGUGCUCGUCCCAACAAGUGAUGGCCUGGGCUAUUUCAAACACUUACUUCUCUUCCUGGGUAUCAUACACAGGGGUACAUAUGUUAUAAAAAUUGUAUGUCUUUCUUCUCUUAAUCUGUCUUUUUAUUAUAGGGGUGUAAUAAAGCCUAGAAAGAUAGAGGGGAAAUUAUUUUUCUUCCCCCACAAUGCCUUUCUUCCCAGAGAGACUGUAAGAUCUUUAAUGGUGAGACUAGGACAUAUGGUAUUUACCAUUGCAAUUCCCAGGAUUAAAAGUAUGGUACACCCUAGAAAAAAUAAUAAUAAAAUAAAUUAAAUUUAAAAUUAAA